GAUCUGGGCCGAACUCCAAACCACCAGAGAGAAAGGACUCCUUCCUCUCUCUUCUUCUUCUUCUCCACAGAAUCAAAAACUCCUUCUGUCUGACUAUUUUCUUCUCAAGAAAAUUCUCAUCCUCUCAUCUUCAAGAUGAUACGGUGGCCUCAAAUAGGCCAACGCUAAGAGGAGUUAAGAGGCGUUAUUGACCAAGCAUUAAAGAAUUCAUUUAUGGAUGAAUUUCAUAACGCUUGUUUCAAAACAAACGGUGGGAAAAAACUAAUGAAUCGAUGAAAACGUGCCAGAUUUCAAAGAUCUAAAUGAACCGGAAUGUAGCCGGUUCAAAACCGAACAUUCCGGUCCAGACGGCAAGCCGAACGGAGUCCGGAUGGUGGCACGUCGUGGCGUUAAACCAAGGACGGAGAAGACUCUGUUUUUGCUCCCAGGCUUCCUUUCCAUCGCGGCUCACAAGCAUCUCUUAAGGGUCCAUGAGCUUAAGGGUUCAUGGGUCCACAGGAGGUAUUUAAAUGGGAUUUAAAAACCAAGUCAGCCGUUAACCAUUGAAAUGGUUUUAGCCAAAUAGGAAAUGGGUUAGCCCAUUUUGUAAUAAAGCAAGCCUAUUUGGUUCUAAUCC
rnacentral:lncRNA from 1 species